GCUUAGCCAUAAACUUUAAAAUUCAUACAACAAGAAUCUUCGCCCGAGGACUACUAGCAAUAGCUUAAAACUCAAAGGACUUGGCGGUGCUUUAUACCCACCUAGAGGAGCCUGUUCUGUAAUCGAUAAACCCCGAUAUACCUCACCACUUCUUGCUAAUACAGCCUAUAUACCGCCAUCUUCAGCAAACCCAAUCAUGGAACCAAAGUAAGCAAAAGUAUCUUGCAUAAAAACGUUAGGUCAAGGUGUAGCCAAUGAAGUGGAAAGAAAUGGGCUACAUUUUCUUACCAAAGAACAUACGCAAAUCUUUAUGAAAAUUAAAGACUCAAGGAGGAUUUAGUAGUAAAUUAAGAAUAGAGAGCUUAAUUGAACUAGGCCAUGAAGCACGU
rnacentral:rRNA from 1 species